UAGGGAAUCUUCCGCAAUGGGCGUAAGCCUGACGGAGCAACGCCGCGUGAGUGAUGAAGGUCUUCGGAUCGUAAAACUCUGUUAUUAGGGAAGAACAAAUGUGUAAGUAAUUAUGCACGUCUUGACGGUACCUAAUCAGAAAGCCACGGCUAACUACGUGCCAGCAGCCGCGGUAAUACGUAGGUGGCAAGCGUUAUCCGGAAUUAUUGGGAGUAAAGCGCGCGUAGGCGGUUUUUUAAGUCUGAUGUGAAAGCCCACGGCUCAACCGUGGAGGGUCAUUUGAAACUGGAAAACUUGAGUGCAGAAGAGGAAAGUGGAAUUCCAUGUGUAGCGGUGAAAUGCGCAGAGAUAUGAAGGACCACCAGUGGCGAAGGCGACUUUCUGGUCUGUAACUGUCGCUGAUGUGCGAAAGCGUGGGGAUCAAACAGG
rnacentral:rRNA from 1 species